AAUAAAUGCAUUUCUACAGGGUUUAUGUUCAACGUUUGAUCAUCCAUCUUAUUUAAAAAUUUUAUCAUUAGUAUUUUAUUGUUAUUAAAUGAUAAAACAUAAAUACCACCUUACGUAUGACUUUUUUUAACUUUUUUUAAUAAAUUUUUAAAUAAGAUAAACGGUUAAAUUCUAAACGUUGGUAUAUCACGGGAGAGGUAGUA
rnacentral:pre_miRNA from 1 species